ACUAACCUUUAACGACUCACUCGUCUCUGAACUUUUGUCUCUGAACAUCUAACUCUAUUACACUUUACUAUUUUCACAUCAACUGAUAUUCUAUACACAUCAGAACACUCAAAAGUGAGUUUACCUGGCACCACUGUGUUCCGUGUGUCUAUCUCUGGCUGAUCCUGGGUGAAAAUCCGAGCCGGAACUAACGGACUUCCACUUAAGGAACCUCCUGACGAAGGGACUACCCCUCUUUCUCUCCCUCUGCCCUGUACUGAGGUUGGAGCUUCUGGUGGACUUCUA
rnacentral:lncRNA from 1 species